GCAUUUUACGAGGUGCUGCAUGGUUGUCGUCAGCUCGUGCCGUGAGGUGUCGGGUUAAGUCCCAUAACGAGCGCAACCCUACCUUUAGUUGCCAUCAGGUAAUGCUGGGGACUCUAAAGGAACUGCCUACGCAAGUAGUGAGGAAGGCGGGGAGUGACGUCAAAUCAGCACGGCCCUUACGUCCAGGGCUACACACGUGCUACAAUGGCCGAUACAGAGGGCAGCUACCUGGUGACAGGAUGCAAAUCUCCAAAGUCGGUCUCAGUUCGGAUCGGAGUCUGCAACCCGACUCCGUGAAGUUGGAUUCGCUAGUAAUCGCGCAUCAGCCAUGGCGCGGUGAAUACGUUCCCGGGCCUU
rnacentral:rRNA from 1 species